rnacentral:rRNA from 1 species
UUCGCCCUUUUCCGGUUGAUCCUGCCGGACCUGACUGCUAUCGGAUUGAUACUAAGCCAUGCGAGUCAUUGUAGUAAUACAAGGCAGACGGCUCAGUAACGCGUAGUCAACCUACCCUAUGGACGGGGAUAACCUCGGGAAACUGAGAAUAAUACCCGAUAGAACAUUAUGCCUGGAAUGGUUUAUGUUUCAAAUAAUUUAUUGCCGUAGGAUGGGACUGCGGCCUAUCAGUUUGUUGGUGAGGUAAUGGCCCACCAAGACUAUUACAGGUACGGGCUCUGAGAGGAGUAGCCCGGAGAUGGGUACUGAGACACGGACCCAGGCCCUAUGGGGCGCAGCAGGCGAGAAAACUUUGCAAUGUGCGAAAGCACGACAAGGUUAAUCCGAGUGGUUUCUGCUAAAGGAACCUUUUGUCAGUCCUAGAAACACUGAUGAAUAAGGGGUGGGCAAGUUCUGGUGUCAGCCGCCGCGGUAAAACCAGCACCUCAAGUGGUCAGGAUGAUUAUUGGGCCUAAAGCAUCCGUAGCCUGCUUUGUAAGUUUUCGGUUAAAUCCAUACGCUCAACGUAUGGGCUGCCGGGAAUACUGCAAAGCUAGGGAGUGGGAGAGGUAGACGGUACUCGGUAGGAAGGGGUAAAAUCCUUUGAUCUAUUGAUGACCACCUGUGGCGAAGGCGGUCUACCAGAACACGUCCGACGGUGAGGGAUGAAAGCUGGGGGAGCAAACCGGAUUAGAUACCCGGGUAGUCCCAGCUGUAAACUAUGCAAACUCAGUGAUGCAUUGGCUUGAUGCCAAUGCAGUGCUGCAGGGGAGCCGUUAAGUUUGCCGCCUGGGAAGUACGUACGCAAGUAUGAAACUUAAAGGAAUUGGCGGGGGAGCACCAUAAGGGGUGAAGCCUGCGGUUCAAUUGGAUUCAACGCCGGAAA